AAUUGAUGAUGGAACGGCCUUGGAUUAUGAUUUUCAGAUGAUGGGAUUUUAAAUGUGAAUGUGAUGUUUUUAAAUGUUUAAUGUGUAUUAAUUUUAAAUUCUAAUUUGAUUGUUUAAUCUUUAUUGUUUUUACUUUUAAGGCCUUGAAUGGUUGCCAUUUGUAAGCCACCUGGAGUCCCCAUUCGGGGUGGAGAAAGAUGGAAUAGAAAUAAGCCUAUUGCCCUUUGUUUGUUUCCCCCAGUGAGACGCAUCCAUAGCAGCUCAGAGAGGUAAGAAGGAAGAGAACAAUUAUAAGGAUAUGAUAUGAAGUAG
rnacentral:lncRNA from 11 species